UAGACAUUGGGUAAAUUAAAAAUCUGAGAUGGAUUCCACGAGUUCAGUCGGUGUGCCAUCUAGUACAUGCCCAAAUGUAGGCAGCAAUGAUGAAAUCCCGGAUGGUGGUUGUGGCUCAGCAAAUAUAGACCAAGAAAUAGAAGAACCAUGUGUAUGGAUGAAGUUUGGAUCAGAGGAUGAUGCCUAUGACUACUUUAAGUCUUAUGCAUUGACCAAAGGUUUUUGUAUUCGCAGGGAGAGCACUCAUAACAAGAAAGGUAAACGGAUCGAUAGGGUUUAUGUUUACUCGAAGGAAGGGUUUAAACCAAAAAAACCUAAUAAAAGUGGAAGGUUACCUUGAGUUAUGGUGUGGGUGCAAGGUUAGGCUGUGCAUAAGUAACCAAAAAGACGAUGCAUAGAAAGUGACUAGCGUCGAGCUAGAUCAUAAUCACGAUCUAGUUACUCCAAAAAAAUCUUGUAUAAUUCGCACACACCGAUCAUUGUUGAGUGCUACAAAGUCCUUGAUACAUUCAAUGAGCUCAGCAAUGGUUAAGCCCAUACAUAUUCAUGAUAUAUUCAUAGAGCAGGCUGGAGGGAUCGAUAAUGUCCCUUGUAUACAAAAGGAUAUCCAAAAUCAAAUAGCAAGCGGUAAAAGAAAACUUAAAGGAGAAGAUGGCAAUUUAAUUUUGUAAUGGCUCUAUAGAAAGAAUCAAUCGAACCCAUCAUUUUUAUAUAGAUUGAGAUGUGAUGAUGAGGAUCACAUUCAUAAUAUCUUAUGGGUAGAUUCUACAUCUAGAGUUUCCUACUAGUGCUUUUCUGAUAUGGUUACCUUUGAUACCACAUAUAAGACAAAUACGUUUGGUAUGCCCUUUGCACCUAUACUUGGUGUAAAUCACCAUUUAGUACAACUAUCUUUGGAUUUGCACUCAUAUUUGACACGAAAAUAGAAUCAUCUAUAUGGGUAUUUGAAAACUGGUUGAAAGCCAUGGGUGGAGGGCAACAAGGCGUUAUUCUCACUGAUCAAGAUCCUGCAAUUUCAUAUGCAGUUAGACAAGUUUUUUUCCAAAGUAAGCAUUAUUAUUGUAAGUGGCACAUAUUUGCAAAGAUCAAAGAAAAAUUGUCAUGUCUUGCAUAUGCAUCCUUCUUUUUCAGAUACCUUUAUGAGGUGUGUGGCUAGCCCAACAAUUGAAGAAUUUGAAUCAGGAUGGAAAUCAAUGGUUGAGAAUUAUCAGUUGGAAGACAAUGAAUGGCUAAGCAAGCUUUAUAGUUAUUGAAUGUAAUGGGUUGAUGCUUACUUGGCUGACACGUUUACAGCGGGUAUGACCUCUACUCAAAGGAGUGAAGGAAUGAAUUCACACUUCAAAAUGUACUUGACACCUACAACAAGCUUACAUACAUUAUUAGAAGUUGUUGCAAAAGUCCAAGAUAAGAUGGUACGAAAAGAGAGGGAAAAUGACUCGAAAGAUAUUCAAACUACUCCAGUCUUACAAACAACCACUUUCAUUGAGUCACAAGCAUAAAAAAUCUAUACUCCAAAUAUUUUAAAGAUAUUUGGGAAGAGGUGGCUAAUUGCUUUAAUUUUACUAGGGAGACAGUUGAAGACAAUGGACAGGUUGCUACCUUUAAGGUGGGAGUCUCAGGGAUGGGAUCUAGACCCUACUUAGUGAAAUUCAAUUACCGUGACAAUUCGGUUUCUUGCAGUUGUCACUUCUUUGAGAGGAUGGGCCUUCUUUGCAGGCAUGUACUGAAGAUUUUUAUGGUGAAAGAUGUUUUUGAAAUCCCUCCAUAAUAUAUAAUGAGGUGUUGGAUCAAGGAUGUAAAAAAGGGAGUUUUUGUUGAUGACAUUGGGGAACAAAUUCAGGUAACUUCUGAACUACCACGCUCCAUUAGAUUUAAUGAGGCUAUGCAAGCAAGUAAUCCCUUGCCGAGCAUGUUUCACAUAGUGUUGAGGGACACAAGUUUAUAAUGUCCAUAAUACAAAAUGGAAUUUGUCAGUUUGAUGAAAAGAUUGUAUGCAAGAGAGGUCCACAGGAUAAUGCCAUGAGCCAUGUCAAUGAAGAUGAGAAUUUACUUAGUUGUAGUAACACACCAAGUGGACGUAACCAUUGUCGCGAUGUCCUUGAGCCUCCACGAGCAUGGAUAAAGAGACGAUCGACCACUAAAAAAUUGAAAGCUCGUUCUGAGGGAUGGAGCCGAAGACAAAAAAAAGGAAAUGCACAGUCUGCAAUGGUAGCGCGGACAUGAUAAAAGGAACUGCCCGUCAUUCGUUUGUGAUAGGGCUAAGGACAAAACACGUAGUAAGCAUGAUGGUAUUGUAGAGCCCAUCUUAAGCAAGGAGGUCAAGUGACAGCAAAUAUGCAUUGAUGGGCAUUUUAUUCAUACAUCUGGAUCAUAGACCCUCCAUUGGUGAUUGUUGUUCCUGCUAAAUGCACAUCCACACCCCCUGAACUUGUAUCGAGCAAGAGAGAAAGUGGGAUCAGAGACCAUGCUGAGAAUCAAAUUUGUACUCGAUUGUAGAUGGAGUAUUAGGACAAGAAGCAAAUUUUUAUUCAAUGUAUUUUGUUUUAUCAUGGAGAAAUUUCAUAUUAGCUCCAUCAAAUUUAGUUUAGAUCAUGAACUGCUAUGUAGUA